UGGGGAAUAUUGCACAAUGGGCGCAAGCCUGAUGCAGCCAUGCCGCGUGUAUGAAGAAGGCCUUCGGGUUGUAAAGUACUUUCAGCGGGGAGGAAGGGAGUAAAGUUAAUACCUUUGCUCAUUGACGUUACCCGCAGAAGAAGCACCGGCUAACUCCGUGCCAGCAGCCGCGGUAAUACGGAGGGUGCAAGCGUUAAUCGGAAUUACUGGGCGUAAAGCGCACGCAGGCGGUUUGUUAAGUCAGAUGUGAAAUCCUCGGGCUCAACCUGGGAACUGCAUCUGAUACUGGCAAGCUUGAGUCUCGUAGAGGGGGGUAGAAUUCCAGGUGUGGCGGUGAAAUGCGUAGAGAUCUGGGGGAAUACCGGUGGCGAAGGCGGCCCCCUGGACGAAGACUGACGCUCAGGUGCGAAAGCGGGGGGAGCAAACAGG
rnacentral:rRNA from 1 species